AUGUCUAUGGAACUGCGUUAACAACAACAUUACAUAACAAGAUGAUAGGAUUGGUGGUACUUCUUCUUUGCCCAAAUAUUUCUGAAGGGAGCAUACACCGAUGCUGCUUCACAGCGGACAUACGAACAUCGGGGGCUGUAUUAAGUGAAAGUACUUACUCCUCGGAAGAACACUGCAUGAAAUUUUGUAUACAAACGGCGGGCUGUAUGGCAGCGGUAACUAGUCCAGACUCUUGGGCUACGAGAGCAUGUUAUGCUAUCGGGGACUACACUCUGUUCAAUGGAGAGUGGUUGGGCCACAGCUGAAAGAGAAUGCUUCGACACAACUUCCCUUGACACACCCCCCUUCAACCAACAUUAACUUUUGAGUUUAGUUUAGUAGAUACGAAUGGUCAAAUUGUUGGCGCUGGAAUUACUGCGUACGGGUUGCUGAUAGUCAAUGGAGG